rnacentral:rRNA from 1 species
UACGGGGGGGGCAAGCGUUGUUCGGAAUUACUGGGCGUAAAGGGUGCGUAGGCGGUUCGUUAAGUUGGAUGUGAAAACUCUGGGCUCAACCCAGAGCCUGCAUCCAAAACUGGCGGGCUAGAGUUCUGGAGGGGGUAGCGGAAUUCCUGGUGUAGCGGUGAAAUGCGUAGAUAUCAGGAGGAACACCGAUGGCGAAGGCAGGUCUCUGGGCAUUAACUGACGCUGAGGAGCGAAAGCAUGGGGAGCGAACAGG